AAGUCGUAACAAGGUUCCGUAGGUGAACCUGCGGAAGGAUCAUUAACACGUAUCCAAACGUUAAAACAACCGUGCGUGUUCUUGCAGGACACCAAAACAGCAAUCCCGAGUAAAUCAGGCGCUAAAGAAUUACAUUUUGAUUUUGGGAAGUUCUGUGUGUACGUGGCGCUGCAAUUGAGCGCUAGAUAAAACACCCUGGUACCCUCUGAAAGCGACAAGGGAUCAAUGUUCAGAGUGGCGCAGUCAACGAUUGCUGUACACACGACCGGCGACCGUGGUGGAGCGAAAGCCCCUCCAUGUACCCUCCGGGACUUGGCGAAAGCUGACUCGUCAUAAAUUGAACAACUGUUAACAGUGGAUAUCUUGGUUCUCG
rnacentral:misc_RNA from 1 species